rnacentral:rRNA from 1 species
GAUGAACGCUGGCGGCGUGCCUAACACAUGCAAGUCGAACGGAGUUUACGGAGCCUUCGGGCAAAGUAAACUCAGUGGCGGACGGGUGAGUAACGCGUGGGUAACCUGCCUCAUACAGGGGGAUAACAGCUGGAAACGGCUGCUAACACCGCAUAAGCAUACACUGCCGCAUGGCAGAGUGUGAAAAUAUUAAUAGGUAUGAGAUGGGCCCGCGUCUGAUUAGCUAGUUGGUAAGGUAACGGCUUACCAAGGCGACGAUCAGUAGCCGGCUUGAGAGAGUGACCGGCCACAUUGGGACUGAGACACGGCCCAAACUCCUACGGGAGGCAGCAGUGGGGAAUAUUGCACAAUGGGGGAAACCCUGAUGCAGCGACGCCGCGUGAGUGAAGAAGUAUUUCGGUAUGUAAAGCUCUAUCAGCAGGGAAGAAAAUGACGGUACCUGACUAAGAAGCCCCGGCUAACUACGUGCCAGCAGCCGCCGUAACAC